rnacentral:rRNA from 1 species
GAGUUUGAUCGUGGCUCAGAUUGAACGCUGGCGGCAUGCCUUACACAUGCAAGUCGAACGGCAGCACGGGGGCUUGCUCCUGGUGGCGAGUGGCGAACGGGUGAGUAAUGCAUCGGAACGUAUCCUGGAGUGGGGGAUAACGUAGCGAAAGUUACGCUAAUACCGCAUAUUCUGUGAGCAGGAAAGCGGGGGACCUUCGGGCCUCGCGCUCUUGGAGCGGCCGAUGUCGGAUUAGCUAGUUGGUGAGGUAAAGGCUCACCAAGGCGACGAUCCGUAGCAGGUCUGAGAGGAUGAUCUGCCACACUGGAACUGAGACACGGUCCAGACUCCUACGGGAGGCAGCAGUGGGGAAUUUUGGACAAUGGGGGCAACCCUGAUCCAGCCAUGCCGCGUGAGUGAAGAAGGCCUCGG